GAUGAACGCUGGCGGCGUGCCUAAUACAUGCAAGUCGAGCGAAUGGAUUAAGAGCUUGCUCUUAUGAAGUUAGCGGCGGACGGGUGAGUAACACGUGGGUAACCUGCCCAUAAGACUGGGAUAACUCCGGGAAACCGGGGCUAAUACCGGAUAACAUUUUGAACCGCAUGGUUUGAAAUUGAAAGGCGGCUUCGGCUGUCACUUAUGGAUGGACCCGCGUCGCAUUAGCUAGUUGGUGAGGUAACGGCGCACCAAGGCAACGAUGCGUAGCCGACCUGAGAGGGUGAUCGGCCACACGGGGACUGAGACACGGCCCAGACUCCUACGGGAGGCAGCAGUAGGGAAUCUUCCGCAAUGGACGAAAGUCUGACGGAGCAACGCCGCGUGAGUGAUGAAGGCUUUCGGGUCGUAAAACUCUGUUGUUAGGGAAGAACAAGUGCUAGUUGAAUAAGCUGGCACCUUGGCGGUACCUAACCAGAAAGCCACGGCUAACUACGUGCCAGCCGCCGCAGUAA
rnacentral:rRNA from 1 species